GGCUACAUGUGCGAAUGACAGGUGUGUGUCAGUCACUGUGACAGCUGGCUGGCUGGCUUAGCACAUGCUGAAAUUGUACUGUACGGGAGUGUGGAUCUGAACCGUCUCACUCUAGGCAAACCCUACUCUCACAUAGUCUAGAGUCUAUAGAGCUACUCAACACACUAUCUAUGGCUCUAGGCCGGCUCAAGCGAAAGUGGGUGACUUUAUUUCUGAUUGCGGUCUCAUUUCUUGUAUCAAUGCUAAUAUUAACGCCAACAACAAGGCGGGGUAUUGCUAGGUUACUUUUACGUUGUGGACAUGAUAGUGGAUCUCACAGUCUGACAUCAUCUUGGAGUGUUUCGUCAAGGACCAUAUCAGUGAGGAAACCUUUUCAUGUGAUUUUGACUGCACGUGAUUGCAAAGGCAAGAUAUCAAGAGGAGGCGACUUCUACAGAGCCAUGUUGACAUCUACCGAGACAUACAGAUUGAGCUCUAUGAUAUCAGUUGGUCAUGUGACAGAUUGUAAUAAUGGAUCUUAUCUUAUUACUUUUGUUCCAUAUUGGAGUGGAAUGGCAAACAUUCAUAUCGAACUUGUUUUAACCAGUCAUGUUAUCAAAUUGAUUCAAAAUACAACAAAAUCAGAUUACAUCAUGUUGUGCUCUUUCUUCAACAACUUUGGCUUUGCUCAUUCACACUACGUUGGGCCACAUCACAUGGAAGAAAUCAAACCUGUAGUCACGUCGGUUUUGAGGAAUGGUCAUGGACGAAGUGAAUUGGGAUUGUGCUACAUGGACUCGCAAGUUGAUUUGCUGCCUCGUUUCAGUGAAUCAUGUGACUUGCAUUUUCCUUCUAAACAUCAUUUCUAUGGAGUGUGUCAAGGUUCUAAUAAGACCGAUUCCAACUUUUGCAAAUCUCUCCAAUGGUGUAUACGUGAUCAAAAGAUGUUUGAAAACAUCAACAACGAAAACAGUAUCAUAGGAAAGAACGCUGGCAUUGUGUUAGGAGAUGUAAACUUUGUGUUUGUAGCAAACACUGAAGAAAGAUUGAAGCAAGUGUCUAGCAAAACUCCAUGCCGACCACAACCCUUGGUGAAACCAACUGGCUAUUGGAUGGGCAAACGCUGGGUAAACAGCAAUUGUUUGUUUGGAUGUGAUACCAUGAGCAAAUGGUGGUCGUGUUUGACUGGUCGAGAUCUGCAUCUGAUCGGUGACUCUACAGUUAGGCAACUAUUCAUUCUUCUUCUAGAGAGUGCCAGUGUUCGUGUGCCUCUGAUUAGUCCAUUCAUUUCACCCAAAUUGAAGGAUUACGUAGUCAAGCAGUACAAUGCUACAGUCCACUAUAGUCUACACGGUCCACCGGUGCUGUCCUCAUUGGCCAUCAACUUCAGUUUAGCCACAUUUACUGCAGAUGUCAUUGAUGCGAUUCCAGCAAACGGAAAUGAGAUAAUAGUAAUCAGCACUGUUCAUCAUUUUGCUAUUUUGUCUUCCGAAGGGUAUCGGCAGCGUCUAAUGGAGAUUGUGGCCGCCAUACGUCGUCUUCGACAGAGAAAGCUGGGCAAACAUAUUCCUAUUGUGUUCCGCACUGCAAAUCCUCGUGGAGACAACACAUUUCGAGAGAAUUCUUACCGUCUCAAGUCGUACAAUCAGAUUGCAAUAGAUAUAUUCGUGGGAGCAAAGCUAGAUGUUAUUGUGUACGAUAUCUAUGACAUGUUUUCUGCCUGUCCCUACAAACCGGUGGUCCACCUUCCAGACGAUAUGAUGACUGUGCAGAUAGACCAUAUUCUCAGUCUAGUUUGUCCUCCUAAAUCGUAGCUUAAAACAAGAUAUUUCCCAUGUUUUACGUAAUGUAUAAACAAUAAUAAUGUAUCACUAUAAAAGGAGUUUCUGGAAGGCGUUAGAGCAAAAGUGGCAAUGACAGAAUGGGAAUCAAGAUAUCCAAUCUAGAGGUGUGCCUGGAAUAGCUUCUAUUAUUAGUAACAGAGUAUGAGGCAAACACAACAGACUGAUCGAGAAUAGCCCUGCUCAUGGUAGCGGGCAUUAAAUUGAGCAUAAUUGGUAUGUACUGACAAGCAUCAAGCCUAGAGGUUUACUAGCAAUACGUCAUCAUACUCACGUGACUGCUAGUAAAAUGGCGGAAAACUCGGAGAUUGCACGAGGUACAGUAUAACAAUAGCUAAUUAAAACCAGUUAAAAAGCAUCUUUUUCUGAUGGAAUGUCAAGUCAGUUUGGCUUACUUGUAGUUUGGUUUUAAUUUGUUGUUUAGUUGUUUACUUUUUAUCAAGCCACUCAAGCCAAGUUAUGUACAAUUGGGCAUAGCCGAGAAGGAUCACGCGCAGUGAAGCUUCCGUAGAUGUGUACACCUGGAAGAGUACGUCGCGGCGUGAAAGAGUCCGGCUACAGGAGAUCUACACAAGCAAUUCGGUGGGCGC